rnacentral:rRNA from 1 species
GACGAACGCUGGCGGCGUGCUUAACACAUGCAAGUCGAACGGAAAGGCCCUGCUUUUGUGGGGUGCUCGAGUGGCGCACGGGUGAGUAACACGUGAGUAAACUGCCCUUGACUUUGGGAUAACUUCAGGAAACUGGGUCUAAUACCGGAUAGGAGCUCCUGCUGCAUGGUGGGGGUUGGAAAGUUUCGGCGGUUGGGGAUGUACACGCGGCUUAUCAGCGUGUUGGUGGGGUAGUGGCUUACCAAGGCUUUGACGGGUAGCCGGCCUGAGAGGGUGACCGGCCACAGUGGGACUGAGAAACGGCCCAGACUCCUACGGGAGGCAUCAGGGGGGAAUAUUGCACAAUGGGCGGAAGCCUGAUGCAGCAACGCCGCGUGCGGGAUGACGGCCGUCGGGUUGUAAACCGCUUUCGCCUGGGACGAAGCGUGAGUGACGGUAAUGGGUAAAGAAGCACCGGCUAACUACGUG